CGUAGGGGGCUAGCGUUGUCCGGAUUCAUUGGGCGUAAAGCGCGUGUAGGCGGCCAGAUAGGUCUGCUGUGAAAACUCGAGGCUCAACCUCGAGCCGUCGGCGGAAACCAUCUGGCUAGAGUCCGGAAGAGGAGAGUGGAAUUCCCGGUGUAGCGGUGAAAUGCGCAGAUAUCGGGAAGAACACCUGUGGCGAAGGCGGCUCUCUGGGACGGUACUGACGCUGAGACGCGAAAGCGUGGGGAGCAAACAGGAUUAGAUACCCUGGUAGUCCACGCCGUAAACGAUGGGUGCUAGGUGUGGGGAGUGUCGACUCUCUCCGUGCCGAAGCUAACGCAUUAAGCACCCGCCUGGGGAGUACGGCCGCAAGGCUA
rnacentral:rRNA from 1 species